UACCAGCGCCACAAGUGGAGAUCACUUUUAUUGGGUCUAAAGUGUCCGUAGCUGGUCUGUUAAGUUUCUUGUGAAAGUUCUGUGGCUUAACCCAGAGAUUGCAAGAAAUACUGAUAGACUUGAGACCGGGAGAGGUAAGAGGUAUUGUUUGGGUAGCGGUAAAAUGCUAUAAUCCUUACAAGACCAACUAAGGCGAAGGCAUCUUACUUGAACGGAUCUGACAGUGAGGGACGAGAGCUAGGGUAGCGAA
rnacentral:rRNA from 1 species